rnacentral:rRNA from 1 species
UUACAUGUUAUAUAUCAUGCUAAUCAUGCUCAGUCUCAUCUGAUCUUGAAAGCUAAGCUGUUGAACUUGAUUAGUACUUGAAUGGGAGACUGACUGGGAAUACCAGGUGCCAUAAAAC